GACAUUCAGGAUGAUCCAGGUGUGGGGAGGGACAUUCAGGAUGAUCCAGGUGUGGGGAGGGACAUUCAGGAUGAUCCAGGCAGUGGCAGGAACAUUCAGGAUGAUCCAGGUGAGGGCAGGGACAUUCAGGAUGAUCCAGGUGUGGGGAGGGAUGAUCCAGGUGAGGGCAGGGACAUUCAGAAUGAUCCAGGUGUGGCAGGGACAUUCAGGAUGAUCCAGGUGAGAGGAGGGACACCAGCAUGGGGUGGGGACAGCUGUCUGAGGGCAUCCUGGGUGACCCAGGGGCAGUGGCAGCCCCAGGUGGGAAUUGCA